CCAGGAUACUGAGGGACAACUGUACUAUUUAGGGGAGGAUUGGGAGAAGCCAAUUAUUAACCAUCUUUUCUGAGACCACAAUAUGGGAAGGAAAAUAAUAAUAGUAAACUUUGGCCUGGUGAGUGAGUGUAAGCUGGAAAUCUUCCCAAGAAGGGCAGAUCCUGAUUUCUGUCUGCCUCUAUAUCAGAAUGUACAGAAAUGGUGAGGGGCCCCAGCUACACACCAGGCACACAACAAUUGUCCCCUGCCCUACCUGAUGGCUGGUAGUGCAAAGGAGAUGUCCCGGGCCAGAAGGAUCACCCAUGAAAGUUCAAACAACACUGUACAGAUCCACUGGUGCCGAAGUGGAGGUGACUGGAAUUGGCAGCAGGGCGAUCAGUCAAGCCAUUCAUUAAUACUUUUUUUUUUUUUUAAUGGUGCUAGGAAUUGAACCCAGGGCCUCACACAUGCUAAACAUACACUCUACCACCAAUCCAUACCCUGCCCCCAAUCAAUGCUCAUUAUUCAAUUGCCAAGGUUAUUUUGUUUACUUUGACUAGAAUGUGCUAAUUUCAUUAAAGUAAUAUAAAGGAUGCAUCCCAACAGGUGUUUAAAGAGGUCUCCCCAUCUGAUACUGACCAUAGUUUAAUUUUUAUCAGAGUGUACACUUGCCUUCAAACAAAAUAGUAGACCAAGCUUACCUUAUUUAUUCCAGAAAAAUCCUCAUACAUAUAUUUGUACAUUGCUUUUGUAUACAGUUGUAUGCAGAGGGAGUAAAAAUAAGUGCAUGUAUUACAAAUCUAUAAUCCAUAUGCUCUGAAGAAGUUCAGCAUCGAGACAGAACAACUGGUCAAUAACAGGUCUUGAUACAGUGCCUUGAUCCCCAAAGUAGGCAUAGACAGACUCAAGCAUCUUACACCUAUAUGUCAAAUGAGGAAUAUGACUAGAAUUCAGGGGUGUGUGAACUUGAAGGAAUAGUGAAGGAAAAGUGACCUAUCCUAAUUUUCACUAAGCUCCAACUGCAAGGUAGUAUUUCCUUCUGUUGUGCAUGUCGGCAGUGAACCAAGGUGUUAUUUUUAUUAUGUCACCAGUAGAAAUCAGUUCCUACAGAUAUGCAUGGUAGCAUUUAUGCUCUUCACUAUCUCAAAAUUAUGGCAGUUAUUAGAUCUGCCACUUUCUUUGCUUCAUAUGUAAACAGGCAUAUAUAUAUACAGCUGUACAACUCUGCCUUUUCAACCUGUUGAUAAUCACAUUUCACCAUCACUGGUCUGCUUCCAAUCAUAGUGUUUUAGGUCAGGCAUUUUAAAACAUUAUUCCAAUAAAGGGUACACGGAUCCACUAAUCUGUUCAAGGGGGUCCAUGGCACAAAAAAAAAAGGUUAUGACCCCUGGGACUAGAUAUGAAAUUUCACUGCAACCCAGUGCAGUGGCACUCAACUAUAAUCCCAGCAACUCAGGAGGCUGAGGCAGGAGGACCACAAGUUCAAGGCCAUGAUGGGCAACUUAGCAAGACCCUGUCUCAAAAUAAGAAGGACGGGGAAUGUAGCUCAGUGAUAGACUGCCCCUGGGGUUAAGCCCCAGUAGCAAGAGAAAAAAAAAACAACUCUAGCAGCCUAAAC
rnacentral:lncRNA from 1 species